UACGUAGGGAGCAAGCGUUGUCCGGAAUCAUUGGGCGUAAAGCGCGCGUAGGCGGCCCGAUAAGUCCGUUGUGAAAGUCAAAGGCUCAACCUGUGAAUGCCGCUGGAAACUGUCUGGCUAGAGUCCGGAAGGGGCGAGUGGAAUUCCUGGUGUAGCGGUGAAAUGCGCAGAUAUCAGGAGGAACACCAAUGGCGAAGGCAGCUCGCUGGGACGGUACUGACGCUGAGGCGCGAAAGCGUGGGGAGCAAACAGG
rnacentral:rRNA from 1 species